rnacentral:rRNA from 1 species
AGGGUUUGAUCAUGGCUCAGAACGAACGCUGGCGGCACGCCUAACACAUGCAAGUCGAGCGCUACCUUCGGGUGGAGCGGCGGACGGGUUAGUAACGCGUGGGAACAUACCCUUUUCUACGGAAUAGCCUCGGGAAACUGAGAGUAAUACCGUAUACGCCCUUCGGGGGAAAGAUUUAUCGGUGAAGGAUUGGCCCGCGUUAGAUUAGAUAGUUGGUGGGGUAAUGGCCUACCAAGUCUACGAUCUAUAGCUGGUUUGAGAGGAUGAUCAGCAACACUGGGACUGAGACACGGCCCAGACUCCUACGGGAGGCAGCAGUGGGGAAUCUUAGACAAUGGGCGCAAGCCUGAUCUAGCGAUGCCGCGUGAGUGACGAAGGUCUUAGGAUCGUAAAGCUCUUUCGCCAGGGAUGAUAAUGACAGUACCUGGUAAAGAAACCCCGGCUAACUCCGUGCCAGCAGCCGCGGUAAUACGGAGGGGGUUAGCGUUGUUCGGAAUUACUGGGCGUAAAGCGCACGUAGGCGGACUAUUAAGUCAGAGGUGAAAUCCCAGGGCUCAACCCUGGAACUGCCUUUGAUACUGGUAGUCUUGAGUUCGAGAGAGGUGAGUGGAAUUCCGAGUGUAGAGGUGAAAUUCGUAGAUAUUCGGAGGAACACCAGUGGCGAAGGCGGCUCACUGGCUCGAUACUGACGCUGAGGUGCGAAAGUGUGGGGAGCAAACAGGAUUAGAUACCCUGGU